rnacentral:lncRNA from 1 species
GAUACAUAUGUUUGUUCAUUAGUUUUUUUUUAAAUUGAAAGUUCCAUAUUUAUGCAUUCAACUUUGAUUUUUUUUUUAUGCUUCUGAAUUUUUUCAUUUCAUAAAUAUAAGUUAUUUACUUUUUUAAUAUUGAAUACAAUUUGUUUGAAUUUUUAUUUUUUAAGAUUUGUCUAGAUCUCUCCCCCUCUCCGUCUAUGUUUUUUCUUUUGAUUUUCGUUAUCAAAAUAUUCAAUUUAUAAUAUA